rnacentral:lncRNA from 1 species
AGUCAUUGAGACUUUGAGAGAGAAAGGGAGAGAGAGGCAGGGGGGGUUCUAACUUUGGUACCUGCUGGUGAUGUGCAGCGGUGGUGCGGCUGGUCCAGAUCCGGGAGCCACCGUCGCCGUGGUGACAGGAGAGAGUGCAAGGUGACUGCACUGCAGGCAGGUGAGGAGGCGACGAGAGCUGUGCUGCUAACCGCGAGGUGGAGCACCAGGGUCGGGAGUGGGAGCGCCGGUGGUGAGAAGAGAUGAAGCGGCGGAUAGCGACAGUGCGAAAGAGAGAGUGAGCUUAGUGAGUGUUUAGCCCUCAAACGGAUCUGAUCAAGUAGUACAUUGGAUGCUCACUGUUAUCUAAGUAAUUAGCUAUUAACAGUGCACACCGGGGUAGCUGUCAUCAGUUACAAGGCGCUGGCCGGCACAAGCGCACAAGGACAUGCCAUGUGAACGAGCGUGGUAAGCGAGUGUUAAAAAGACAGCAGUGGGGACUAGCGCCUAGACUCAAGUUGAUCAUAGUAUACUUGAAUCGACAGUAGGCAGCCGCACAAAGGCCAAAAGUAGUUGUAUUCUGCAGUAGUAAUAAUCGGGCUAUUAGCAGCACUUCUUGUCACACAGGUUGAAAAGCAAAAAAACAAGGACAAGGGGCUGUCAUCAUCUACAAAUAAAUCAGUACCAAUCAAUAAUACAAACUACUCCUGUCGUCCCAGAGAAUACUCUGUAUGUAUCGGGGAGAGGCUCGCUGGUUUUCUUUUAGUAAUACUUUGAUUCGUUAGGCUCUAGUUAACAGUUGCUCUAACAUGUAAGAUAUUGCUAUUUCACAAUAAGAUUGUGAGUCCUAAUUAACAACCACUGGGCCUCCAAUCAACCAACCUGUGCCGCUAUGCCUGGUGCUGAUGCCAGGCCAUGAUCAAAAUUGGUUUGGCUGCUUAGAUGCACCUUUAGUAUCUAAGCCUCUACUGCUAAACUGGUAGAGAACUGAAGGAGCCUCAGUCGUGGCGCACCUGAACAAGUGAUCGAGCUCAGUAGCUCAAGGCUGGACGAGCCAGCGAUAUGCUUGGGCCAAAGAUGUGUAUGUCCAUCUACACGUUGCUACCGCCAUCCACCGGAUCUGAUCAACCGAACCAAUUCCAAAUCCAAUAGUAAAUUAAAGACUAGGUUCCGGGUCUCGCGCAGCGCUGGUGGUGGUGUUGCGGUCUGUAAGGCGAUGGCCGGCACAAGCACAUGCCAUCUGAACGAGCUUGGUAAGAGAGUGGACAAUCAAUAAUAAAAACUACUCCUGUCGUCCCAGAGAAUACGCCAUCUGAACGAGCUUGGUAAGAGAGUGUUAAAAGACAUGCAGUUAGACUCGAGUUGUUCAUAUUAUAGCACGCAAAGACAUGAUGCCAUGUGAACGAGCUUGCUAAGCUGAGUGUUAAAAAUACGGGCACCCGGGGCUAGCGCCUAGACUCGAGUAGAUCAUAGUAUUAUACUUGAAUUGGUUCCCACAAGGCCCAGCUUUAUUCGCUUGAAGCUCAAGCUCGUCUCUUGAUGUAUGGUGGCCAUUAGUUAAUUUCUGGGGACGAAUCGAGAGACGAGAGAGACAGACAAUAGGACGGAGACAGCUUUAUUCCACUGGAAGCAAAGAAGCGUGCGUGGACGCAUGUCGGCAACUGGGUUGGUGACCAUGGUGCUGGAGCUAGCUAGGAAGGUGGCGGUGGAAGGAAGCUGGUGCUGGUGGAAAUAAACGCAAACACCUGCAGGGCGCGAGCAGAGCACAUGAGAGCUCCUUGGUGGCAGCUCGUUNACGCAAACACCUGCAGGGCGCGAGCAGAGCACAUGAGAGCUCCUUGGUGGCAGCUCGUUCGAGCAUGGCCUGCACCUGCAGCAGUUCCGUGCGGACGGCCUCGAUGUUGAGACCAAAGUGACUGCUGGCCGCCCAAGCCUCCAGCACACCAUCCGCAACGGGGGCUAGUGCCUUUCCCACCACCCAUUGUGCCGCGCCAAGGGCCGCGUCGGCCAUCGAUCCCCUGAUCGGAUGCAGGGAUGGAGGAUGUUCUGCGCACCUGCACUGGUCCAGGAACCAACAAAAGUUGAUAAAUCUUGGCUGCUGGUAGCUGCAAAUGAAAGGAGAGAUCAGUAGGUAUGUACGUUGACGCGCGCACGAGGUGUCGGUCUGCCGGUGAUGGAAGCCGCUGCCGUCUGCCUAGUCCCAGCUAGCUACAAAAAGGGGGUUGUGUUGAGUCUCUGUCAUUGAGACUUUGGGAGAGAAAGGGAGAGAGAGAGGGGGGGGGGAGGGGGUCUGAUUUUGGUACCUGCUGGUGAUGUGCAGCGGUGGUACGGCUGGUCCUGUCACCGUCGCCGUGGUGACAGGAGAGUGCAAGGUGACUGCACUGCAGGCAGGUGAGGAGGCGACGAGAGCUGCGCUGCUGACUGCAAGGUGGAGCAGCAGGGUCGGGAGUGGGGAGCAGGGGCAGGACGAACGCCGGUGGUGAGAAGAGAUCAAGCUGUGGAGAGCGACAGUGCGAAAGAGAGGGUGAGCUUAGU